rnacentral:rRNA from 1 species
UCAGGAUGAACGCUAGCUACAGGCUUAACACAUGCAAGUCGAGGGGCAGCAUGGUCUUAGCUUGCUAAGGCCGAUGGCGACCGGCGCACGGGUGAGUAACACGUAUCCAACCUGCCGUCUACUCUUGGACAGCCUUCUGAAAGGAAGAUUAAUACAAGAUGGCAUCAUGAGUCCGCAUGUUCACAUGAUUAAAGGUAUUCCGGUAGACGAUGGGGAUGCGUUCCAUUAGAUAGUAGGCGGGGUAACGGCCCACCUAGUCUUCGAUGGAUAGGGGUUCUGAGAGGAAGGUCCCCCACAUUGGAACUGAGACACGGUCCAAACUCCUACGGGAGGCAGCAGUGAGGAAUAUUGGUCAAUGGGCGAGAGCCUGAACCAGCCAAGUAGCGUGAAGGAUGACUGCCCUAUGGGUUGUAAACUUCUUUUAUAAAGGAAUAAAGUCGGGUAUGGAUACCCGUUUGCAUGUACUUUAUGAAUAAGGAUCGGUUAACUCCGUGCCAGCAGCCGCGGUAAUACGGAGGAUCCGAGCGUUAUCCGGAUUUAUUGGGUUUAAAGGGAGCGUAGAUGGAUGUUUAAGUCAGUUGUGAAAGUUUGCGGCUCAACCGUAAAAUUGCAGUUGAUACUGGAUAUCUUGAGUGCAGUUGAGGCAGGCGGAAUUCGUGGUGUAGCGGUGAAAUGCUUAGAUAUCACGAAGAACUCCGAUUGCGAAGGCAGCCUGCUAAGCUGCAACUGACAUUGAGGCUCGAAAGUGUGGGUAUCAAACAGGAUUAGAUACCCUGGUAGUCCACACGGUAAACGAUGAAUACUCGCUGUUUGCGAUAUACUGCAAGCGGCCAAGCGAAAGCGUUAAGUAUUCCACCUGGGGAGUACGCCGGCAACGGUGAAACUCAAAGGAAUUGACGGGGGCCCGCACAAGCGGAGGAACAUGUGGUUUAAUCCGAUGAUACGCGAGGAACCUUACCCGGGCUUAAAUUGCAGAUGAAUUACGGUGAAAGCCGUAAGCCGCAAGGCAUCUGUGAAGGUGCUGCAUGGUUGUCGUCAGCUCGUGCCGUGAGGUGUCGGCUUAAGUGCCAUAACGAGCGCAACCCUUGUUGUCAGUUACUAACAGGUUCCGCUGAGGACUCUGACAAGACUGCCAUCGUAAGAUGUGAGGAAGGUGGGGAUGGCGUCAAAUCAGCACGGCCCUUACGUCCGGGGCUACACACGUGUUACAAUGGGGGGUACAGAGGGCCGCUACCACGCGAGUGGAUGCCAAUCCCCAAAACCUCUCUCAGUUCGGACUGGAGUCUGCAACCCGACUCCACGAAGCUGGAUUCGCUAGUAAUCGCGCAUCAGCCACGGCGCGGUGAAUACGUUCCCGGGCCUUGUACACACCGCCCGUCAAGCCAUGGGAGCCGGGGGUACCUGAAGUGCGUAACCGCGAGGAGCGCCCUAGGGUA